AGUGAACGCUGGCGGUAGGCCUAACACAUGCAAGUCGAACGGCAGCACAGUAGGAGCUUGCUCUUACGGGUGGCGAGUGGCGGACGGGUGAGGAAUACAUCGGAAUCUACUUUUUCGUGGGGGAUAACGUAGGGAAACUUACGCUAAUACCGCAUACGACCUACGGGUGAAAGCAGGGGAUCUUCGGACCUUGCGCGAUUGAAUGAGCCGAUGUCGGAUUAGCUAGUUGGCGGGGUAAAUGCCCACCAAGGCGACGAUCCGUAGCUGGUCUGAGAGGAUGAUCAGCCACACUGGAACUGAGACACGGUCCAGACUCCUACGGGAGGCAGCAGUGGGGAAUAUUGGACAAUGGGCGCAAGCCUGAUCCAGCCAUACCGCGUGGGUGAAGAAGGCCUUCGGGUUGUAAAGCCCUUUUGUUGGGAAAGAAAAGCAGCAGGUUAAUACCCCGCUGUUCUGACGGUACCCAAAGAAUAAGCACCGGCUAACUUCGUG
rnacentral:rRNA from 1 species